AUGAUUUUCAUCUUUGCUGCUCCUAGGAUCAGACUCGGGUCUGGAACCUUCUCAGCAGCUUCCUGGCUGCUCAGCGCGCACCAUCCUGAGCAGUCUCUGGUGCCCCCUGUUGGAUCCCAGAUCAGAGUCUCCGGCUGCAGCUGGCCUCCAGCCGCAGAGCCCUGGCCUGCAAGGAGAGAAGGCCUGGGCUUGGGGCCGGCAGCCUGGUCCAUGGACCCCUGGGUCGGAGAUUCAGCAAUAAGCAGAUUCUGUCCUGAUCUCACUGCCAGCCUCCACCACCUGGAGCCAGAUCCCUGCUCCAGGCUCCCCAGAACCCAGAGGAAAUGUCUGCACGCUGAGUCAGCGAAGCCCGCAGGUACAGUUUCUCUUGGCCACUCCACGGGCUUAUCAGAGUGCAGUGUCCUUGUUCCCCAGUGAGUGAGUUCAGACAAUCUCUUUCCGGAGAUUAUGUUCCCAAGCCUCUGUGCAGCCUGGGGCUUUGAUAACCACCUGGUGAAGCGGCCUUCAACUCCCCUCCUGGGGAAGCUUUGUGUCACGUUUCGGAGCUGACUGCCUGAGGGGUACUGCAUGGCCAGACCUGGGGGUCAGAUGUCAGAUGAGCAAGUGCUGGUCACUGCCUGGGCCAGACAGGGACAGGGUCAGGCAACUGCCAGGUAACUCAUGCCCUGUGGGCUGGGAGCAUUUGCUCUCUCUCCUUGCUGGAUGUGUCAACCUUAGAGGACCUCCUUUGAUUGCGUUGGGGUUUAUGCUCUACAGCAAGCAAGAGUGAUCCACCUGUCAGACUUUUUGUGUGCUAUUCACUUUGUGUCAGGCACUGUUUUAAAAGGUUUCAGUAUAUAAUUAUAUCUAAUCCUCAUGAUAACUUGAUAUAGGUCAUUUAAUUUCCUUCAUUCCCAUUUUAUAGAGUAUAGGAUUGAGACAGGCCAGUUACAUAACUUCCCAAGAGCAUGCUAUUGGCAAGUGGGAGGGCUGGGCUAUGAGAUGAGACAAUUUGGGAGCCGAGUACGGAUCCCUGCUUCCUCUACUGCCGGCCUCUGCCAAGGGCUGGGGGCCCUUGUAGACCACCCAAUUCCAGCGUCCUGCCUGACCAGUGAAGACCCUAAGGCCUGUGUUCAUCCAGCUCACAGUGGCAGAGAUUCUGAGACUUGCUCUUUUGAUCUCCUGGGCCCAGAGCUCUUUCCAAAGAUGUUUAUAGUUUUCUUUAUUUUGUGGGGAAAGUGGCCUUUGAGUGGUGGGGAAGACGGGGUAAUGUUUGGUGCUUGGAAACCCCAGAAUUGAUAGUGGUGGCAAAAUAACUGGAUUCACAGCAACAAGGUCUGUGGGUUGAGGGCUCCUCUAUCAUUGGCACCGAGCACAGAGUGGUGAAUUCUCUGUUUAUCAAGUGUAAACUGGUUCAGUCCUCUCAGAGAAGGUUGGG
rnacentral:lncRNA from 12 species